UCUAACCCGUGGCACAUCUGUAUGCAUGUUUCCGCUAAAUCAAAUACAACAAGGCAGAAAUUACAUACUAACUGCAAAAAUGUCAACAAAAGGCAUGGAUGUUAAGUCACCGGUUUAUUUAGCUCACAAGCCACCUGGACAUCGGUUAUCAUGAUGAUUUUUGAGCGAAGUGGGAGCGUAUUAUUAUCACAGUUGUGCCAAUGCUAUUGCUAAUGUUCUUGUGCUAAUCUGCAGACACUGAAAACAAACAUUGGCUUCAAUGCCAUACUGAACAAAAAAUAUUUUAUUGUUCGUAAUAGUUUGAAAUAAGUUUCAUUUUGAAAAUCACGUGCAUCCAUCUGUGCCUCUGUCCAAAUGCUCAUUUUGGUCUCAGAAAAAGAGUAAACCCAAAAGCUGGCAAAAAUGCCCCCCCCCCCCCCUCCAAAAAAAAGUAUUCUUCCAAAAGAGGAGCAGGGCAAAUAACGAAACUCAAGAAGCACAUUCCAAGAAAAAGCUGGCUGCAUUUACUUUGUAAUAUCAGCAGGUCGGCUUAAGUUUAUUGUUCAUUUGAUAUUUGACUCUUAGCCUCCACCUUUAACCUUAUCUGCAGAAUAUGUCACAUCAGGCUCACAAAUGAGUAAAUGAAUUAAAAUUACUUCAGUAAUUUGAGCCCAAGAACUCGCUGGCAGUAAAGGAUUUUUUUUAAAGAAAAAAAAGAUUACCGGUAAUUCAUUAGCCAACAUUGUCACAUUGAAUCGAAAUAAUUCCAGGGCUCUCCCUGAUUACAACUACAAUACUUGAUAUGAAGUCUAAAAUUGAGGUUGCCUUGGAUGGAAAAGCGCAGGUGACAUAGAAAGGCUUCAUUUUUUGGAACCUAGCUACAAUGUUCUACAUACAACAUGUCUACUAUGGAACACAUGACGAGACCGGACAAUUUCUUGGAGACAAAUUACAUUAGCUACAUUCACCCGCACCACUAUUGCGGCUUCUAUUCUAUGCACCUUAUAAUGCAUUGCGCCCAAUAUAUGAAAACAGUUCUAAAAUAGGUGCCUUAUACUCCGAAACGCCUUAUAGUGCGGGAAAUACAGUAUGUCUUGACAUGAAAUAUGUUCGUCGCAUAAAAAAGGUCGAGGACCAUUGUACUGUGCUGAAGUACUAUCAGUGAUCUAAUCGAUUACUCAACUUCGACUGGACUUUUAUCACAUUGUAGUUGACUGCAAGAAAUCUGUUGUCCAAUUGAACCAAAAGGUGGAACUAACAUAUUUAAACUUGACACUUUUAUACGUUAACAAUUUCAAUAAUGCAAAAAUGCACUGUUUUUUUUGGGCAUUUUCACCUUGAGUAGCAAACUUUGCUCUAGCUUUUCUUGAGGUUUGCCAGUUUGUUUGUGAUGGGGAGACAAAGCACUUAAAAGGUGACACUUUGGAGACCCGGGAUAUUUAAACAUGACAGAAUGCGUUAGCGUCUCGGCUUUAUGCAUCUAAUGGCCCACUUUGUCUGAAGGAAAUAGGCAUGCAGUGGACUAUUUUUGCCCAAUUCAAAGGGAAAGAAAGUGUGUCAUGACCCAGUAGCACACGAUAAAAAAACGGAUGAAACCUGUGUGAAGUCCUGCCGCCUCGGCCCCCUCAAUGCUGUCAACAUUAUUCAUGAUUGACAGAUUGGCAUGCAUCUGAACCCCUCCCAGAGGAGAGCCACUUUUGAACAAGAACUCUAAAUAAAAUGUGUGUGUAGUUUGGGAGCUUUUUGUCAGACGGGGGUCAAUAAAGGGAUUGUUAACUGCUGCGGGUUAGAGUGACAACGACGUGUCAGACUCCACCAAGAAUAGGUGCAGGACGAUGAUAGUCUGGAAAAAAAAAGAAA